rnacentral:rRNA from 1 species
AGAUAGAGUUUGAUCCUGGCUCAGAAUGAACGCUGGCGGCAGGCCUAACACAUGCAAGUCGAACGGAGUUAUAUUGUAGCUUGCUAUGGUAUNACUUAGUGGCAGACGGGUGAGUAAUGUAUAGGAAUCUACCUAGUAGUACGGAAUAAUUGUUGGAAACGGCAACUAAUACCGUAUACGCCCUACGGGGGAAAAAUUUAUUGCUAUUAGAUGAGCCUAUAUUAGAUUAGUUAGUUGGUGAGGUAAAGGCUUACCAAGACAAUGAUCUAUAGCUGAUCUGAGAGGAUGAUCAGCCACACUGGAACUGAGAUACGGUCCAGACUCCUACGGGAGGCAGCAGUGGGGAAUAUUGGACAAUGGGCGAAAGCCUGAUCCAGCCAUGCCGCAUGAGUGAAGAAGGCCUUCGGGUUGUAAAGCUCUUUUAGUGAGGAAGAUAAUGACGGUACUCACAGAAGAAGUCCUGGCUAACUCCGUGNC